CCGGAGGAGGAGGAGGGGGCGC
rnacentral:miRNA from 1 species